rnacentral:rRNA from 1 species
UACGUAGGGUGCGAGCGUUGUCCGGAAUUACUGGGCGUAAAGAGCUCGUAGGUGGUUUGUCGCGUUGUUCGUGAAAACUCACAGCUUAACUGUGGGCGUGCGGGCGAUACGGGCAGACUGGAGUACUGCAGGGGAGACUGGAAUUCCUGGGUGUAGCGGUUGGAAUGCGCAGAUAAUCAGGAGGAACACCGGUGGCGAAGGCGGGGUCUCU